rnacentral:rRNA from 1 species
AUACGUAGGGUGCAAGCGUUAAUCGGAAUUACUGGGCGUAAAGCGUGCGCAGGCGGUUUUGUAAGACAGUGGUGAAAUCCCCGGGCUCAACCUGGGAACUGCCAUUGUGACUGCAAGGCUGGAGUGCGGCAGAGGGGGAUGGAAUUCCGCGUGUAGCAGUGAAAUGCGUAGAUAUGCGGAGGAACACCGAUGGCGAAGGCAUUCCCCUGGGCCUGCACUGACGCUCAUGCACGAAAGCGUGGGGAGCAAACAGGAUUAGAUACCCUGGUAGUCCACGCCCUAAACGAUGUCAACUGGUUGUUGGGGAUUUAUUUUCUCAGUAACGAAGCUAACGCGUGAAGUUGACCGCCUGGGGAGUACGGCCGCAAGGUUAAAACUCAAAUGAAUUGACGGGG